UACAUAGGGGGCUAGCUUUGUCCGGAAUUACUGGGCGUAAAGGGUGCGUAGGUGGCAAUGUAUGUUGGAAGUGUAAUCCCUCGGGCUUAACUCAGGGGCUGCUUCCAAAACUGCAUUACUUGAGUGUCGGAGAGGAAAACGGAAUUCCUAGUGUAGCGGUGAAAUGCUCAGAUAUUAGGAGGAACACCAGAGGCGAAGGCGGUUUUCUGGACGACAACUGACGCUGAGGCACGAAAGCGUGGGGAGCGAUUGGG
rnacentral:rRNA from 1 species